GACGAACGCUGGCGGCGUGCCUAACACAUGCAAGUCGAACGAAGUGGCGGACGGGUGAGUAACGCGUAAUAAACCUGCCCUUCAGAGGGGGACAACAGUUGGAAACGACUGCUAAUACCGCAUACUGAUGGAGGGGAUUGCGUCUGAUUAGCUAGUUGGCGGGGUAACGGCCCACCAAGGCGAUGAACAGUAGCCGGUCUUAGAGGAUGAACGGCCAAAUUUGGAAUGAGACCAGGCCCAGACUCCUACGGGAGGGCGCAGUGGGGAAUCUUCCGAAAUGGACGAAAAUCUGACGGAGCAACGCCGCGUGAAUGAUGAAGGCCUUCGGGUUGUAAAGCUCUGUUAAUCGGGACGCGGUACCGGAAUAGAAAGCCACGGCUAACUACGUGCCAGCAGCCGCGGUAAUAC
rnacentral:rRNA from 1 species